rnacentral:siRNA from 1 species
CCGUCUGACGCGUCUUGUGAUA